rnacentral:rRNA from 1 species
UACGGAGGGUGCAAGCGUUAUCCGGAUUCACUGGGUUUAAAGGGUGCGUAGGUGGGCAGGUAAGUCAGUGGUGAAAUCUUUGGGCUUAACCCGAAACUGCCGUUGAUACUAUCUGUCUUGAAUAUAGUGGAGGUGAGCGGAAUGUGUCAUGUAGCGGUGAAAUGCUUAGAGAUGACACAGAACACCGAUUGCGAAGGCAGCUCACUACGCAGUUAUUGACGCUGAGGCACGAAAGCGUGGGGAUCAAACAGG